GCCUGGGUAGCUCAGUUGGUUAGAGCGGAGGACUCAUAAGCCUCAGGUCGCCGGUUCAAAUCCGGCCCCAGGUACCA
rnacentral:tRNA from 1 species